rnacentral:lncRNA from 1 species
UUUACGUGGCCUUGAUUGCUGGCAUGUUGGGCUCCAUAAAUUUACCAAUCCAUGCAAUAUUCAACCUGAAAUUCCGCCUAAGAUAUUGCAUGGCCAAAAUUUUCACGUUCAAAUGCGUGGGUUUGGAAAUGGAAUUUGAACUAAAAUGUCAAAAUUUCAGUUUUCUCCCCGUAGUUGGAGAUGGUCUAAGAUUGUUGUUUGUGAUUUACGAGUGAGAGAGACCCACACACCUAAAUUCAUAAUUAUAAUAUACUAUAUUAAAUUCACUCAUCCAAUCAUAGCAGUAGUAGUAAAUUAAUAUAGCCUAAGCCUAGUACGUGUCACGCAGAAAGGGACCCAUCAGCAUUCAAAAAACUUUUAUGUUCAAUUAGGGUUGCUCUUGGAUUCCUCACGGUGCAAAAACUUUCUUGAGUUUGAAUCACCGGAUAUGGUCUAGUUUAGUAGAAAAUAGUAUUGACUUGUAGAUCAGUAGUCUUAUAUUCGAAAUUUCAUGACAUUUUGACAGUGUGUAUGAGAAUCCUCUUUCUAACUUUGAGAAAAAAAAAAAAAAGAAUCAUCGAACUAUUUGUAUAUUGCCCACAAUGGCCAUUCUUUGUUUUGAGAAAAAUAAAUAUUUGGUUGUGACAGUUAUAAUAUAAAUUCAUUAGUAACACCAUGUAGCCUCUCCACAAAAAGGAUCAACGAGAAGCC